CUACGGGAGGCAGCAGCAAGGAAUUUUCCGCAAUGGGCGCAAGCCUGACGGAGCAACGCCGCGUGGGGGAUGACGCCUUUCGGGGUGUAAACCCCUUUUCCGGGGGACGAAGCACUGACGGUACCCUGGGAAGAAGGACCGGCUAACUACGUGCCAGCAGCCGCGGUAAUACGUAGGGUCCGAGCGCUGUCCGGAGUUACUGGGCGUAAAGCGCGCGCGGGCGGCUCGUCAAGCCUGGCGUGAAAGCCCCCGGCUCAACCGGGGAGGGUCGUCGGGGACUGGCGGGCUUGAGGCUGGCAGGGGUCGGUGGAAUGCCCGGUGUAGUGGUGAAAUGCGUAGAGAUCGGGCGGAACACCCGUGGCGAAAGCGGCCGACUGGGCCAGGCCUGACGCUGAGGCGCGAAGGCGUGGGGAGCGAACGGGAUUAGAAACCCCAGUAGUCC
rnacentral:rRNA from 1 species